GGUUCAUUCAAAUUUCUGCCCUAUCAACUUUCGACGGCUGGGUCUUGGCCAGCCAUGGUGACAACGGGUAACGGAGGGUUAGGGCUCGACCCCGGAGAAGGAGCCUGAGAAACGGCUACUACAUCCAAGGAAGGCAGCAGGCGCGCAAAUUACCCAAUCCCGACCGGGGAGGUAGUGACAAUAAAUACUGAUACAGGGCUCUUUUGGGUCUUGUAAUUGGAAUGAGUACAAUUUAAAUCCCUUAACGAGGAACAAUUGGAGGGCAAGUCUGGUGCCAGCAGCCGCGGUAAUUCCAGCUCCAAUAGCGUAUAUUACAGUUGUUGAGGUUCAAAAGCUCGUAGUUG
rnacentral:rRNA from 1 species